GUAUUUUUACACCUUCAAGCGUCACCCCUCGGCAAAAGAUUGGUGGUAUUUCUCCUCCCAGUUCGGCAAGAAGGGGUUGCUGAAAGAUGCUCUCUCUUCAAUCCAUAACUGGAAGGGGAAGUACCUUUUUGUCCACUGCCCGACCUUGAGGCUGGGACUGCCCCCUUGGGGCUCCCUGAGGGACUCUGUCCGUCGGACUCC
rnacentral:lncRNA from 1 species